GCAAACUUGGUCAUUUAGAGGAAGUAAAAGUCGUAACAAGGUUUCCGUAGGUGAACCUGCGGAAGGAUCAUUAUCGAUUCUAAACGGAUGUGCUGGCUAGCCUUAAAAACUAGCAUGUGCACUCCAACACCUUUUUUACCCAUGUGCACAUUCUCCAUUGAUAAUUUAAGAGUAAUUGAAGCUGUUAACAGCUGAAAUGAAAUUAUUUCAUCUUUGGUUUUAUAAAUUCAUAAUUAAAAGAAUGUUUCUUCAGCUUGGUAACACAAGCUAUAAAAUAUAUAACAACUUUCAACAACGGAUCUCUUGGUUCUCGCAUCGAUGAAGAACGCAGC
rnacentral:misc_RNA from 1 species